GUGGGGAAUAUUGGACAAUGGGGGCAACCCUGAUCCAGCAAUGCCGCGUGUGUGAAGAAGGUCUUCGGAUCGUAAAGCACUUUCGACGGGGACGAUGAUGACGGUACCCGUAGAAGAAGCCCCGGCUAACUUCGUGCCAGCAGCCGCGGUAAUACGAAGGGGGCUAGCGUUGCUCGGAAUUACUGGGCGUAAAGGGCGCGUAGGCGGCUCUGUUAGUCAGGCGUGAAAUUCCUGGGCUUAACCUGGGGACUGCGCUUGAUACUGCGGCGCUUGAGGCCGAGAGAGGGUGGUGGAAUUCCCAGUGUAGAGGUGAAAUUCGUAGAUAUUGGGAAGAACACCGGUGGCGAAGGCGACCACCUGGCUCGGUACUGACGCUGAGGCGCGACAGCGUGGGGAGCAAACAGGAUUAGAUACCCCGGUAGUCC
rnacentral:rRNA from 1 species